UUCAGAUUUGCGAUUUGUACUAAUUAUCAUCAGUUACUGAAUACGGGAUCUAACCUCAAAGAUAUGGCUAGAAAAUGCGCAACAGCGCAAAAGAAGCAAAACCUUCGUUUACAAUAUAUGAUUACGUUGAAAGGACAUUUGGUGUACCAAUGUGUGAAGUGUAGAGGACGCUGCAGAAACUUCAAGGGAAUGCUCAGAGAAAGACGAAAAGAGAGAGAAGGAUAAAAGGAUAAAAAAAAGAGAGGAAGAAGGAUUAAAAAAGAGAAAGAAAUAAAAAAAGAACACUGAGUUAAAAAGUCCGGGAAAAUUGUUUGGUUUUAUGUACUUUUACGGAGUAUUUUGUUAAUCCUAUUUGAAAAACACUCUUGUAUAUUAAGUGACUACUGAUUGUGAAACUUCAAAUUAAUGCUCAGAAUGUCGUAAAACUAACAUUUAUACAGUAAAUACUUUUCGAAAUAGCAUCCGCUCAUGAAAUUAUAAUGAAUUGACUAAAAUAUAACAAGAAUGUUUUUAAGAAACGAAAAAAUAAUGCAGCUUAAAGCCAAAACGCAUUACGAAAUUGUGAACUAAUAUGAUACUUAGAUAUUUACUCAACCUAGACAGGUCGUUAAAAUGUGGUAAUUCAGUGACAUGCUCUGGCUAAGAAUUCCAAUUAAACUUCGCAUAAAACUUCAAUCAAUCUUCAUCAUUAUGAUUUUUAGUACGCUGCUCAAUUAAGAAGAUCCAAUAUUAAGUGCUUAGUAAUUAAAAUUUUAGUGUGAUGUUUUUAUUGCUGCAGCUAUCAAGUCCGAAAAAAAUUUGU